UGCCCUAGUAACGGCGAGUGAAGCGGCAACAGCUCAAAUUUGAAAUCUGGCUCUCGGGCCCGAGUUGUAAUUUGUAGAGGAUACUUUUGAUGCGGUGCCUUCCGAGUUCCCUGGAACGGGACGCCAUAGAGGGUGAGAGCCCCGUCUGGUUGGAUGCCAAAUCUCUGUAAAGUUCCUUCGACGAGUCGAGUAGUUUGGGAAUGCUGCUCUAAAUGGGAGGUAUAUGUCUUCUAAAGCUAAAUACCGGCCAGAGACCGAUAGCGCACAAGUAGAGUGAUCGAAAGAUGAAAAGCACUUUGAAAAGAGAGUUAAAAAGUACGUGAAAUUGUUGAAAGGGAAGCGUUUAUGACCAGACUUGGGCUUGGUUGAUCAUCUGGGGUUCUCCCCAGUGCACUCUUCCAGUCCAGGCCAGCAUCAGUUUUCGCCGGGGGAUAAAGACUUCGGGAAUGUGGCUCUCUUCGGGGAGUGUUAUAGCCCGUUGUGUAAUACCCUGGCGGGGACUGAGGUUCGCGCAUCUGCAAGGAUGCUGGCGUAAUGGUCAUCAACGACCCGUCUUGAAACACGGACCAAGGAGUCGUCUUCGUAUGCGAGUGUUCGGGUGUCAAACCCCUACGCGUAAUGAAAGUGAACGCAGGUGAGAGCUUCGGCGCAUCAUCGACCGAUCCUGAUGUUCUCGGAUGGAUUUGAGUAAGAGCAUACGGGGCCGGACCCGAAAGAAGGUGAACUAUGCCUGUAUAGGGUGAAGCCAGAGGAAACUCUGGUGGAGGCUCGCAGCGGUUCUGACGUGCAAAUCGAUCGUCAAAUAUGGGCAUGGGGGCGAAAGACUAAUCGAACCUUCUAGUAGCUGGUUUCCGCCGAAGUUUCCCUCAGGAUAGCAGUGUUGAACUCAGUUUUAUGAGGUAAAGCGAAUGAUUAGGGACUCGGGGGCGCUAUUUAGCCUUCAUCCAUUCUCAAACUUUAAAUAUGUAAGAAGCUCUUGUUGCUUAAUUGAACGUGAGCAUUCGAAUGUAUCAACACUAGUGGGCCAUUUUUGGUAAGCAGAACUGGCGAUGCGGGAUGAACCGAACGCGAGGUUAAGGUGCCAGAGUAGACGCUCAUCAGACACCACAAAAGGUGUUAGUACAUCUUGACAGCAGGACGGUGGCCAUGGAAGUCGGAAUCCGCUAAGGACUGUGUAACAACUCACCUGCCGAAUGUACUAGCCCUGAAAAUGGAUGGCGCUCAAGCGUCUCACCCAUACCUCGCCCUCAGGGUAGAAACGAUGCCCUGAGGAGUAGGCGGACGUGGAGGUCAGUGACGAAGCCUAGGGC
rnacentral:rRNA from 3 species